UAGGGAAUAUUGGACAAUGGGUGAGAGCCUGAUCCAGCCAUGCCGCGUGCAGGAAGAAGGCGUUAUGCGUUGUAAACUGCUUUUUGCCAGGGGAUAAAAUGACCGUGCGCGGUUAAUUGAAGGUACCUGGUGAAUAAGCCACGGCUAACUACGUGCCAGCAGCCGCGGUAAUACGUAGGUGGCAAGCGUUGUCCGGAUUUAUUGGGUUUAAAGGGUGCGUAGGUGGCCCUGUAAGUCAGUGGUGAAAUAUCUCAGCUUAACUGAGAGGGUGCCAUUGAUACUGCAGGGCUUGAGUACAGAUGAGGUAGGCGGAAUUGACGGUGUAGCGGUGAAAUGCAUAGAUAUCGUCAAGAACACCGAUAGCGAAGGCAGCUUACCAAGCUGUAACUGACACUGAGGCACGAAAGUGUGGGGAUCAAACAGGAUUAGAUACCCCGGUAGUCCCUGAGCGGGCUGGCAAGGCGCAU
rnacentral:rRNA from 1 species